GGAUCCAGACUUUGAUCAUGGCUCAGGACGAACGCUGGCGGCGCGCCUAACACAUGCAAGUCGAGCGGGAAGCUUUUUAAGGAUUCUUCGGAUGAAUUAAAAAGUGGAGAGCGGCGGACGGGUGAGUAACGCGUGAGAAACCUGCCCUAUACAGGGGGAUAGCCAUUGGAAACGAUGAUUAAUACCCCAUAUGACCACAGUAUCGCAUGAUACAGCGGUGAAAACUCCGGUGGUAUAGGAUGGUCUCGCGUCUGAUUAGCUAGUUGGUGGGGUAACGGCCUACCAAGGCGACGAUCAGUAGCCGGCCUGAGAGGGUGACCGGCCACACUGGAACUGAGACACGGUCCAGACUCCUACGGGAGGCAGCAGUGGGGAAUAUUGCACAAUGGGCGAAAGCCUGAUGCAGCGACGCCGCGUGANCGAUGAAGGCUUUCGAGUCGUAAAGUUCUGUUCUUGGGGAAGAUACCGACGGUACCCAAGGAGAAAGCACCGGCUAAAUACGUGCCA
rnacentral:rRNA from 1 species